rnacentral:lncRNA from 1 species
AGUUGGGGAAUCCCCCGGGGGUGGUCUGGGGCCAUUUGGGGUGCAGGCCCCCCUGAGCCCGUGCCUCUCUUCCCCAGGGGGAGGGUUUGCACCAGCUCCGCGAGGCGCUGAAGAUUUUAGCAGAGAGGGUUUUAAUCUUGGAAACAAUGAUUGGGCUCUACGGCCAGUAGCUUCCAAACCCUCCUGCAGCAGCAGGCCCGGCUGGAGGUCCUGGCUAGAAGGGUCACCUUGCUGGAAGCCAUCAUCUGGCCAGAGCCAGAGCCAGGCUCGGGCAGCGGUGCCCCCGGCACGGCGACCCCUGGGGUGCCCCGUGGCAAGCGUGGCAGCGGCCACCCCCCCUACCGCAUCGUCACCGCCGCCCACCGCGCCCCCCCAGAGCCGUGACAGGGGUGGGGGCGUCACCCAGGCCACCCCCGCUGUGCCACCCUGGGGAGCAGGAUGGGCUCAGCCUCGUCCCCCCUCUUGGUGCUACUGGUGGCACGGCACCGUCCCCGCCACGACGCUUCGCCCCUAUCGCCGCUGCUUGAGCCCCCAGGAGGGCCAGGGGUGUGCCCAAGGCCGUUUCUGUCCCCCGGCCAAGGCGCAGCUCCGGGGGGAUGGGCUCUGUCUCAUCCCAUCCCCCCCGGGCACCCCAGCCCGGGGGAGGGGAUUGGGGGGGGCUGGCAGUGGGCACCCCCCAGGUGGGGACCCCGCUGCGCCACGCGCUUCGCUGCUUUGGGACCCGCCGGGUCAUUAAAUGUCCCCAAAUCCCUG